CCUACGGGUGGCAGCAGUGAGGAAUAUUGGUCAAUGGGCGCGAGCCUGAACCAGCCAAGUAGCGUGAAGGAUGACUGUCCUACGGGUUGUAAACUUCUUUUAUAAAGGAAUAAAGUGAGGCACGUGUGCCUUUUUGAAUGUACUUUAUGAAUAAGGAUAGGCUAACUCCGUGCCAGCAGCCGCGGUAAUACGGAGGAUCCGAGCGUUAUCCGGAUUUAUUGGGUUUAAAGGGGGCGUAGAUGGGUUGUUAAGUCAGUUGUGAAAGUUUGGGGCUCAACCGUAAAAGUGCAAUUGAUACUGGCAGCCUUGAGUACAGGUGAGGUAGGCGGAAUUCGUGGUGUAGCGGUGAAAUGCUUAGAUAUCACGAAGAACUCCGAUUGCGAAGGCAGCUUACUAAACUGCCACUGACAUUGAUGCUCGAAAGUGUGGGUAUCAAACAGGAUUAGAUACCCUUGUAGUC
rnacentral:rRNA from 1 species